GUGAAACUUCAGCAGCACACAUACUAAAACUGGAAGGAUACAGUGAAGAUUAGUACUGCCCUUACACAAAGAUUACACACAAAUUUCAGAAGUGUUCCAUAUUUAA